ACAAAAAAAAAUGUUGAUAACAGCUCGUCAGCAGUUGCUUAGCAGUGUAUGGAAUUAAUAUCUGAACAGAUGGUUUCAAGCUCAGCUUUGUUUAAAUCAGCUAGACACACCCAAGCUCAGCACUGCAAGACAUCACAAUGCGCAUUAUAUUUGUGCUGGUUUCCUUUGUAUUUGCAUUAUUAUUUAUUGAAGUAGUUUCCUCUGGAUUUUGGAAUAGCUAUUAUCAAAAACGCCAAGAAUCCGAUAAGCAGAAGAUCAUGUCGAAUGUCAGUUACGGUAUGCUAAUGAUUAUGGAUACAUUUGCCCCAUUUUGGAUCCGUCGCGAAGAUAGGCGAGGUGUCUAGAAACCCAUAAAGAUUGUAUUUGUUUGUGAUUGUAUUUGCUAUUGCAAUUAGUUAACUAAAACUAUGACAAAGUAAAAGUUAAUUCAUUUAUUUGAGUUUUGUUUUGUAGUAUUUUACACAGAAACGCUUUAGACUAACUUGUAAAAUAUCUAAAUAGAUCAAAUCGUAUACACAUUGACAUAUAAUCUGAAGCCUAGAUAUAAUAUCUAAUCAUUUAUUUAAGUAAGUGAAUGCACAUUUACAUAUGUACGUAUUGAGAGGGCGAAUUAUCUUUAAUGUUUUCAUUUGUAUUUUGUUUUGUUUGGACACGACACGAACCCAUUUAAUGUGAGCAUUUAUUUAACAUAAGAGUUACUAGUGGUACAUAGGUUUACAACUUUUGGGCUCAUUCAAUAUUGCUAGUCGGAAUGAUUGUUACUUAAAAUUUACAUAUUAAUAACUAAAUCCAAAACAAAUCUGUUUAAAUUGCUGCUGAUCUGACUUCAUAUCCAUCUCCUUUAUCUUUCUCUUUCUGUCGGGGACUUCAGUUUCAAGUGCUUGAAUCGGUUUACCUCAGUGGGUUCCGAUUCCUUAAACGCUAGCGAUUCCUUUUUGUUUUACGACUCACAUUUCCCUCGAUGAUAAUCUAUGCAUUCAAAAAAUUUACAAUUUAAUCACAGCAUUUUGACAGAUUUGAUAUUGAAGUUCUUAAUCAAAUGGCAUUUGUCGGCGUUGCACUUCGGAAACGAUAUCAAUAAAUGAUCCAGUCGUAUGUGAAGUCGAGUGAUACGACUCGCCAACGGUAUUCUGAUUAAUAUUCACUAAACGAUCUUUUGGUGGCUUAUAGUAUGGGCACUUUGCCAGCUGGUUGUUGGUUUGAUUUAAUUUGCACUUAAAACUUUAAAACUUAAAGUAAUUAUGUAAUAAAUACCUGAAGUAUCUGGCUGGCCUCAAAUGCAGUGCCAGGCAAUAAUAUAACCGGGGCACUGACAUUGCCAGCUUCCACGCACAGCAUGUUUGGGAAUUCAUCAUCACCAAAGUCGCUCAUUUCCCUCGAGCGAUCGAUCCAGGGAUUCCAAAUUA